rnacentral:lncRNA from 1 species
UGGAUGUGUAUGUGACUGACAUGCAAGAAAAUACCAAUAAUGAAGGUACAUUUACAGACCUGAAAAGCAGAGCGAAUCAGCUCCUCAACAUAAUCAACAGUUGCACCUUUGACGAAAUCAUAUGAUACAUUAUCCACGACCAAUUUAACUCCGGCGCGCUCAAAUAUUCUAUGAAGAAUAAGAAAUGAAUAAGAUGGCAACAUAAACAACAUACUGACAAAUCUUAAUGCUAGUAACAUAUGAUACUAAAGUGAAUUUUAAGUGCGCUUUGCAGGGUGGGAAAGCGGGAAUAGGAUGCCGAAUUCAUACUGCAAAAUUUGUCAGAUUUCUUGUGACCACCUAGAACAUGAUUCAGCAAUCAAUCAAUUAUACUCGAUAAUUAGUUUUAAGACAAUUAAGGAAAGACAAAUAGGGCCCUCUAAAACUAAUGCAAGGAUCACAUUAUCCACGACCAAUUUAACUCCAUCACGCUCAAAAAUUCUAUGACGAAUAAGAUGGCAGCAUAAACAACAUACUGACAAAUCUUAAUACUGGUAACAUAUGGUACUAAAGUGCAUUUUUAAGUGCAUUAUACUCAAUAAUUAGUUUUAAGACAAUUAAGGAAAGACAAAUAGGGCCCAAAAAUUAAAUAGGCUGACAAAUAGUAGAAAACCU